CCUGACGGAGCAACGCCGCGUGAGUGAUGAAGGUCUUCGGAUCGUAAAACUCUGUUAUUAGGGAAGAACAUAUGUGUAAGUAACUGUGCACAUCUUGACGGUACCUAAUCAGAAAGCCACGGCUAACUACGUGCCAGCAGCCGCGGUAAUACGUAGGUGGCAAGCGUUAUCCGGAAUUAUUGGGCGUAAAGCGCGCGUAGGCGGUUUUUUAAGUCUGAUGUGAAAGCCCACGGCUCAACCGUGGAGGGUCAUUGGAAACUGGAAAACUUGAGUGCAGAAGAGGAAAGUGGAAUUCCAUGUGUAGCGGUGAAAUGCGCAGAGAUAUGGAGGAACACCAGUGGCGAAGGCGACUUUC
rnacentral:rRNA from 1 species